ACCGGAUACCGUAGCAUAAGUCUAUAGUCCCAGCUACUUGGGAGGCUGAGGCAGGAGGCUUGCUUGAGUCCAGGAAUGCGAAGCCAACCUGGGCAACAUAGCAAGACCUUGUCUCAG
rnacentral:sRNA from 1 species